GGGCCCGUAGCUCAGUCUGGUAGAGCACCGCCCUUUUAAGGCGGGUGUCGUUGGUUCGAGUCCAACCGGGCUCA
rnacentral:tRNA from 1 species